GACGGAGGAGGCAAGCGUUAUCAGGAAUUAUUGGGCGUAAAGGGUACGUAGGCGGCUGGUCAAGUCUGGGGCCAAAGGCCACAGCUCAACUGUGGGAAGGCCCUGGAAACUGACCGGCUAGAGUGAGGUAGGGGUUGCGGGAAUUCCCGGUGUAGCGGUGAAAUGCGUAGAGAUCGGGAGGAACACCUGAGGCGGAAGCGCGCAACUGGGCCUCAACUGACGCUGAGGUACGAAAGCUAGGGGAGCGAAUGGG
rnacentral:rRNA from 1 species